GACGAACGCUGGCGGCGUGCUUAACACGUGCAAGUCGAACGGUGAAGCGCCUUCCUUUUUGGUGGGUGUGGAUGAGUGGCGAACGGGUGAGUAACACGUGAGUAACCUGCCCCCUUCUUCUGGAUAACCGCAUGAAAGUGUGGCUAAUACGGGAUAUUCUGGGUCUGUCGCAUGAUGGGUCUGGGAAAGAUAUUGUUUCGGUGGGGGAUGGGCUCGCGGCCUAUCAGCUUGUUGGUGGGGUGAUGGCCUACCAAGGCGGUGACGGGUAGCCGGCCUGAGAGGGUGGACGGUCACACUGGGACUGAGACACGGCCCAGACUCCUACGGGAGGCAGCAGUGGGGAAUAUUGCACAAUGGGCGCAAGCCUGAUGCAGCGACGCCGCGUGAGGGAUGGAGGCCUUCGGGUUGUGAACCUCUUUCGCCAGUGAAGCAGGCCUGCCUCGUUUGUGGGUGGGUUGACGGUAGCUGGAUAAGAAGCGCCGGCUAACUACGUG
rnacentral:rRNA from 1 species